rnacentral:rRNA from 1 species
UACGGAGGAUGCGAGCGUUAUCCGGAUUUAUUGGGUUUAAAGGGUGCGUAGGCGGAUUUUUAAGUCAGCGGUAAAAUGUCCGGGCUCAACCCGGGCCGGCCGUUGAAACUGGGGAUCUUGAGUGGGCGAGAAGUAUGCGGAAUGCGUGGUGUAGCGGUGAAAUGCACAGAUAUCACGCAGAACUCCGAUUGCGAAGGCAGCGUACCGGCGCCCGACUGACGCUGAGGCACGAAAGCGUGGGGAUCGAACAGG